GCGCUAACCACUACACCGUGCGCGUUACAUCUAAACAGUGAUUUCUUGAAGGCAAGCUUUUGACUCGGCACUCGAUUAAUUUAUUAAUGUCGAGUCGUACAUUCAUCUCUAGAUGGCAUUCGUGUCGCAUAGCACGUUCGAAUUCGAAAUUACCCGCCAUUAAAACUUAGUCUGCUGUUUGUGCAACAGCAGAUCGAACAGCACAAAAUCACAAUCACAAUAUCACAUGUCACACAAUCUGCUUCAUGGUUUUCCCCUUUUCGGUCUAGAUUUUUUGAAAAUUGAAUCAAAUGAGUAGUGGCAAAGCGAAGAGUGUACGACCUUCUCGCAAGAUUUGAAAAUGAUGAUUUUAAACUUACUGACUUCAUCCAAAAGCAGUAGAAUAACAGGAACCAAUGCACAUACCAUCACAAUUGUUUUCCUCGCUACAACAUAAUUGUGAACAACAUUGCAUUUAUGACAUGAGCUUUAAAAUCUUGAGAUACUUGAUUGAAAAUCAGCAAGUUGGAAAACAAUUUUUGUGGAAAAUGUUUGUAAAUUUUCUACAGAAAGAUUGUGCUUUUUUCCUGCCCUUGUUGUCGGAAUUUUAAAAUGUAUUCCUCAAGCCGCUAAAAGUUCAUCACAGUGAGUUGCUUCUAUUUCACACAGUUCUCCUUUUAAACAAAGAAAUGUAUGAUCAAGCUUACCAGGAAGCUUGCAAUUUUACUGCUAAGGAAUCAGCAUUUGAAACACAUUUUUGUGAAACUGCUAAAGCUGCUUCAUUGUCAGCUUUACUUAAAUGGGAUACAAGAACAUUGUGGAUUACCAGACUAUGGAUACUGGUGAUGAUUAGAUGCUCCAUGUAAUUAAAUACGGAGUCAUUCCAACUGCUGUUUACAAAGAAACCCUUUGAGCUUUGUUUGCUGAACCCUACACUUACAUUUUGAUGAAGUUGAAAUUACAAGAAGAAGCUGAAGCAUUUCUUUAGAAGUAUGUUGAAAAAGAGUCUAAACGAAAUUUCGGAGUCUCUGGUGCCCUUCAUGCCUUGAAUAUAAUCAAGUUGCAUAUUCCAAAAGCCAGUCCAAAUCUUACCAUCUCCUUCCUUGAAAUGAUUGCAAAGAGAGAUUUUGGAAAUUCAAAGGUAUUAGAUCUAUGUAAACACUACUUGCAUACUCUUAAUUCUGCGACUUGCAGUAUCUCUGACAAUGAAUCCGACUUCGGUUCGGAUGCAGUGCCCAUUUCAUUCGCCCCUGCACCCAACGGUGUGUGAACAAAUGUCUAGAGUUGAUUAUGUGUAUCCCAAAAUGAUGGCAACUUCAAAAAUGGGGAAAAACCGAUUACAUCCGAACUGGCAAAAUUCAUCUAAAUACGAGAAAGCUGUUAAAACUUGAUAUUAGCAAUAUGAUAGCCAAGCGAUAUAAGAAGAGGAGGACAAUGCGCGUCCAAAACAAAGCGCUCCGCAUGACCCGUGCGUGAAGAUCGGCUACAAUAUCAACUUGCUCUGUUAGAUCUUUUGAAUCACUGGAUUCUUCCCUGGAUGAAUGGGAGCAUGGCGACAACAACGUAAUGACCGAUGAGUCACUCUCGCAGGACGGUGGAAAUGACAGCACUUCAAAAUGGUGUGAACCAAAUCCUUGUCAGCCGACUGUAAGUAUG